rnacentral:rRNA from 1 species
GACGAACGCUGGCGGCGUACUUAACACAUGCAAGUCGAACGAAGUGGCGGACGGGUGAGUAACGCGUAGUCAACCUGCCCUUCAGAGGGGAAAACCAGUUGGAAACGACUCCUAAUACCCCAUACUGAAGGAGGGGAUUGGGUCGGAUUAGCUAGUUGGGGGGGUAACGGCCCACAAAGGCGAGGAUCAGUAGCCGGUCUGGGAGGAUGAACGGCCACAAUGGGACUGGGACACGGCCCAGACUCCUACGGGAGGCAGCAGUUGGGAAUCUUCCGCAAUGGACGAAAGUCUGACGGAGCAACGCCGCGGGAGUGAUGACGGCCUUCGGGUUGUAAAGCUCUGUUAAGCGGGACGCGGUACCGGAAGAGAAAGCCACGGCUAACUACGUGCCAGCAGCCGCGGUAAUUC